ACGGGAGGCAGCAGUGGGGAAUAUUGCACAAUGGGGGAAACCCUGAUGCAGCGACGCCGCGUGAGUGAAGAAGUAUUUCGGUAUGUAAAGCUCUAUCAGCAGGGACGAAAAUGACGGUACCUGAAUAAGCAGCCCCGGCUAACUACGUGCCAGCAGCCGCGGUAAUACGUAGGGGGCAAGCGUUAUCCGGAAUUACUGGGUGUAGAGGGUGCGCAGGCGGCCAAACAAGUCAGCUGUGAAACCCGAGGGCUUAACCCUCGGCUUGCAGUUGAAACUGUAUGGCUAGAGUACAGGAGGGGAAAGCGGAAUUUCUAGUGUAGCGGUGAAAUGCGUAGAUAUUAGGAAGAACACCGGUGGCGAAGGCGGCUUUCUGGACUGUAACCGACGCUCAGGCACGAAAGCGUGGGGAGCAAACAGGAUUAGAUACCCUGGUA
rnacentral:rRNA from 1 species